GCAUGCACUCUCUAUUGCUCGCAUUUGCACAAUGGCCCCUUUGAUCUCUAACAUGAAACCUUAAGCUUCUUGUCUAUGGAUGAUUUUCCUUGUAUUUGUUAGUUACAUGAUGAAGUGAUUUGAUGUCGGUUGGGUCAAUGUGGAUUUUAUUAAUGUCAUUCAAUUGGAGGGAUAUUGCUUUGCAACUGAACAUCUUUGUCUUUUUGAGUUCUGUCUACGUACAGCCUUUGUUGCUGAUGAGGAACCUCACCAUCAACUUGUCUAGCCUUGAUUUUGAGCCAAUUAGAGAGGUCCUGUCGUCAUAUGAUGUCAAUUCCAAAACUGUAGGAAUUGCUACAGGAAAUGUCGUGAAGAACCAAGAAAAAUGAGCUUUUGUGUUGAUAUGUUGAGCACUACUUAUAAGCUGCCAUGUACAUUAUAGAUGAGAAGUCUGACAGUGCUCUCGCAGCAUGCUCUGAAAUUCACUAGUUCAAGGAUAUAUAAAUGCCACUACAGCUGUAGAAUCGGAGAGUAUUGCCCGAUGAAAGGAUAACAUCCUCUGAUUUUCAUGCCUUAAAUGAUAUAAAUAUCCAAAGGCUGAAUGGCAAUGUUUUGUACCUGUUUUACUGAUCUGGGUCUGUUAGCAGAUUGCAAGUAUGUCUCGUAGUUUCUGUCAGUGGCAAUUUUAGCUUUCUUGAAAAUAUAAUGUCAGUCUCAGUUUUGUGUAGUAUAAUUUCCCAAGGCAAUGUAGCUUUAAGAAUUGGGGUUGUAAUAAUGAUGGUUAUGCUUUCUUGAUCUUUAAGAGCAUGGUUUUGUUGUUGUUGU